rnacentral:rRNA from 1 species
UCGGANCUGCCCGGUGAAAUUUUUUAACGGCCGCGGUACUCUGACCGUGCAAAGGUAGCAUAAUCAUUUGCCUUAUAAUUGAAGGCUGGUAUGAAUGGUUUGACAAGAAUACAACUGUCUCUUUACAAUUUGGUAGAAUUUUAUAUUUAGGUGAAAAAGCCUUAAUUUAAUUAAAAGACAAGAAGACCCUAUCGAGCUUAAAAGAAAUUAAUAGGUUAAUAUUUUUAGUUUUUAGGAAUAUAGAGUUAGCUGUUAAAUAUUUUGGUUGGGGCGACUGAGGAACAUGAAAAGCUUCCUUUUAUAACUUUCGAUAUACAGAUAUUGAUCCAUAGUUGAUGGUUAAAGGAAUGAGUUACCGUAGGGAUAACAGCAUAAUCCUUUUUGAGAGUUCUAAUCGAAAAAAGGGUUUGUGACCUCGAUGUUGGACCAGAAUAUCCUAAAGAUGUAGAAGUCUUUGAGGGUUGGUCUGUUCGACCAUUAAAAUUCUA